AGUUUGAUCCUGGCUCAGGAUGAACGCUGGCGGCGUGCUUAACACAUGCAAGUCGAACGAAGCGCUACCGACGGAACUUUUCGGAGGGAAGAUGGUAAUGACUGAGUGGCGGACGGGUGAGUAACGCGUGGGUAACCUGCCUCACAGAGGGGGACAACAGCCGGAAACGGCUGCUAAUACCGCAUAACAAGGGAUUGCCGCAUGACGAUCCUUUCAAAGAUUUAUCGCUGUGAGAUGGACCCGCGUCUGAUUAGCUUGUUGGUGGGGUAACGGCCUACCAAGGCGACGAUCAGUAGCCGGCUUGAGAGAGUGAACGGCCACAUUGGGACUGAGACACGGCCCAGACUCCUACGGGAGGCAGCAGUGGGGAAUAUUGCACAAUGGGGGAAACCCUGAUGCAGCGACGCCGCGUGAGUGAAGAAGUAUUUCGGUAUGUAAAGCUCUAUCAGCAGGGAAGAUAAUGACGGUACCUGACUAAGAAGCCCCGGCUAACUACGUG
rnacentral:rRNA from 1 species